rnacentral:rRNA from 1 species
AUUGAACGCUGGCGGCAUGCUUUACACAUGCAAGUCGAACGGUAACAGGCCUUCGGGUGCUGACGAGUGGCGAACGGGUGAGUAAUGCAUCGGAACGUACCCAGAGGUGGGGGAUAACGCAGCGAAAGCUGUGCUAAUACCGCAUGUGAUCUGAGGAUGAAGGCGGGGGACCGAGCAGCAAUGUUUGGCCUCGCGCCUUUGGAGCGGCCGAUGUCGGAUUAGCUAGUUGGUGGGGUAAAGGCCUACCAAGGCGACGAUCCGUAGCUGGUCUGAGAGGACGACCAGCCACACUGGGACUGAGACACGGCCCAGACUCCUACGGGAGGCAGCAGUGGGGAAUUUUGGACAAUGGGCGCAAGCCUGAUCCAGCAAUGCCGCGUGCGGGAAGAAGGCCUUCGGGUUGUAAACCGCUUUUGGCAGGAACGAAACGGUGUCCGCUAAUACCGGGCGCUAAUGACGGUACCUGCAGAAUAAGCACCGGCUAACUACGUG